GUCCUCUUUGCAUUCUGGUCUUCUAGGGUCUUCACCCUUGCUUCGAGUUCUUUAACAUACUUGACUGCGUCUCCAAGAACAGAAGCCUUGUCCUUCUGAAAGAAGAAAUGCCUAGAAGAAAAGAUGUUGCCAGAGACUAGGAGAUCAUGCUCCUCUAUAUGGAGAAGUAUUUCCAAAUGUUCAAGUUUCAGACACCCAUCAAAGAUUAUGGCUAGAACAUCAAAAUACGCUUACAAGACAUUUGUUAACAUAAUGAUUGAAUGCAUUUGCAAUGGAAGUAGCUAAUGCAAAUAGGAUGAGAAAUUUAAUUUAG